rnacentral:misc_RNA from 1 species
CACGUAGGGGGCAAGCGUUGUCCGGAUUUACUGGGCGUAAAGGGCGCGUAGGCGGCCUGUUAAGUGUGAAGUGAAAUCUCCAGGGCUCAACCCGGAAAUUGCUCUGCAAACUGGCAGGCUUGAGGAACGUAGAGGUGAAUAGAAUUCCCGGUGUAGCGGUGACAUGCAAAAAUAUCGGGAGGAAUACCAAUGGCGAAGGCAGUUCACUGGACGUUUCCUGACGCUGAGGUGCGAAAGCGUGGGUAGCAAACAGG